rnacentral:lncRNA from 1 species
AUGAUGUUGGAGGAUACCUGUGGAAACCUGGAUUAGAAGCAUGUGCUGCUCUCAGACCUGGCCUACAGAGAAGAACUGACACAGACUUCCUUAGAUGUGUUGUCUUCCUGUCACUGGUGCAUUCCUUAUCAAUGUGGGUGGCUCCGCACUCAGCCCUGUGAUCACCUGAGUAAUGGGAAGUCAGUGAGUGCAGUGCCUGCAGAGGGAGCAUGCUUGCCAAUCACCAUCACCCACUUUUGCACUUGUGCCAGAGGAUGUGCCCAAGCCAACCUGAGAAAGAUGAAAGACACAUGGCUCAGACACUCCAUUACCCCAUCCCAGGGCCAUUAACCUGCCAGGCAUAAUCCAAAAUUCUUAUCAAGUUAUCUUCAAUCUAUGCAAGGAAAAUAUUUAUCCCAAAGGAGGAUUUUCAGAAGAUGACACAUGAGGGGCAUUCAUCACAGUCAAGUCUUUUGUUUUGAAAUACGGAAUCUGCAUACCUACUGCUUUCCAAGUUUUGUAAAAAAAAAAGAAGAAAAAAGCAAAAUGCUCUGAGAAUUAUCUAAUUCAUUUUUGCAUAAAGAAUUUCCAUUUUCUAUUUUUCCGUUGUCUAAUUCACUUGCAUAAAGAAUUUUCUUUUUCAUGUUUCAAUUCACAUCUAACAAAUGUUAUCAUACUUUUUCAAAUACUCUUUAUUUCAUUCACUGUAAUUCCAAUUGGCUUAGUUAAUAAUCUUACAUGUGUAAACCAUCCUCAGCCUUUAAAUAAGGUUCUUGUUCUGGGAUUAAAGAAAAAUUUUAAUCAAUCAAUUAAUUACUAAUUGCAUUUUGCAUUUAGCACCUACUGCCUCUGAAUUUUUUAACUGAAAAUAUACCUACUCUUAUAUUUUUAUUUUAGCGUUUAUUUUUCAAGUCUGCUAGUGACAAUCCAAAUUAUAUUUUUUAAUCCAGAUAUUUUUAAUUUAGAAAUUAGGAGAGGAAUUUUGGUAAGCCACACUAUCCUCUGAGGAGCAACUGAAUAUAUUAGAAUUCUAAAUGGUACCACACGAUGGGAAAAAAAUGGCAAAAAUAAUCCCAAAGUCUAUAUUAUGUUGAAAACUUCAAAUGAAAUUCUAAGUCUUCACUAACUGAAUGGACUCAUUUUUGGCCCAGCGGAUGCCAGAAAACCCUUAAGAUUGAAUUCCUGGACAUGACAGGAUGGGCGGUGAGGUAUGGCUCAUUAUACUCCCUCACUUUUGGGGUUUAGACACAACUGACCAGCAUAGAUGUUAAAAUACAGAUUAUAAGAAUGGCAGAACAGACUCUCUGACAAUACGAUAUCAAAUUAUAAACAGAACCUAAACCCAUGGCAGGCGAGGUUUAAGUCACUUACCUACCCUUGAAGAAUAAGCUUGUUCUCACUGCCAUAGCUUUUUUUUUUUUUUUUGUCUUUCUCUAGCAGCUAAAUAAGCACUGGCCUGGAGAUAAGCACUAGUGAAAGAAUUUGCAGCUCAUCCACUGCUGGACCCUGAUUAAGUGACCCCCUGUUCCACAAGCCAUGACUCCAGCUUUGACUGGACAAGAGACUGAUUUCAGUAGCUUUUUUUCAUAUAAGAAGACCAUUGACUGUGGAAUGAUUCCAGAGGCUGCACACUGUCAGGACUUCAUGUCCUGAAAAGACCUUUUGACAUGUACGGCCUGAUUGCAAUGCAUUUGAAUGUUGUCUCCACCCUAAAGUGAACAUGGAUCAUAUGUUACAUGCACGUUUGUUCAAUGCCCAUGUGGCAAGACCCCUUGAUGAAUAUUCGUAACUCCUCCUGUAACCUGUUGAAUAUGUAUGUCCUACCCCAACCCCUCCUCCUUCAUGGUGCCUGUCUUUGGUCUUGACUAGAGGCCAACCUGCAGGUUGGCCACCUGGCAGGCUGUAACCCUAAGAAAUAAAAACUUCUUUUCUCCUUUUCAAAAUGUAUAAAUUGUGAUUUCUAUUAAGUCAACAAUGUCCAGGAAUAAUGUUAUUCUUGAGACAGUUUUAUGAUCUGAGCUUUGUUCAAAAACUGGAAAAGUUACAAAGUAAAACCAUAAUUUUCUUUAGUGGGUUAACUGUGUGCCAAUUUAAAUUUAAUUUUUUCAGCUGUGUUGAGGAAAAAUUUAUGCCUCCGAAGCUGCACAUGUAGAAAUUUCACAAUUUGAAGAAUUUUCACAUAUGUAUGCUGGGUGAAACCACACCAUAAUCAAGAUACCCAACAUUUCUACCUUCCCCAAAAGUUUCUUCACACCGUUGUGCAUUCAUCUCUUCAUUCAACCCUUUCUCUGCAAUCAAUGGUUUACUUCUCGUCAGUAUGGAUUAAUUUGCAAUUUCAAGAAUGUUGUAUAAAUGAAAUUAUAGAGCAGUACGUUUUUGUCUGAUUUUAUUCACUCACAGAAUUAUUUCAAGAUCCAUCCAUAUUGUUGCAUGAUUCAGAAGGCUGCUCUUUUUAUAUUGCUGAGUAGUUUUCAAUGGAAUAUACUACAUUUUGUAUAUCCAUAAGCCUAUCAUGUGCAUUUUGGAAUGUUUCCAUUUUUUUGGUAAUUGCAAAUAAAACUGCAAUGAACACUC